AACGUAGGUCCCGAGCGUUAUCCGGAUUUACUGGGCGUAAAGCGUGUUCAGGCGGUCUAGCAAGUCGGGCAUGAAAUCUCUCGGCUCAACCGGGAGGGGUUGUCCGAUACUGCUGGGCUUGAGGGCAGCAGAGGGUGGUGGAAUUCCGGGUGUAGUGGUGAAAUGCGUAGAUAUCCGGAGGAACACCAGUGGCGAAGGCGGCCACCUGGGCUGUACCUGACGCUGAGGCGCGAAAGCCAGGGGAGCAAACGGG
rnacentral:rRNA from 1 species